GAAUCAGCUCAGCCCAGUGGUUCCUUCGACCAAAGCAUUGCUUUGAUCCCCUAAUCACUUCCAGGGGUCUGAGACCGACAGGCACUGACUGGCUUUCUU